UCUUUGCAUUUGUGUGACUGCUGGGUUCAAUAACCAAAGCCAAAUUGGAAAUGCCUAUGGGACAGCUGUGGUGAUUGUCAUGCUGGUAACCACAUUGCUUAUGGCUCUAAUCAUGAUACUUGUGUGGCGCUGCCAUUGGAUUCUUGUCCUGCUUUUCACAGGCUUAUCACUGGUUGUGGAAUGCAUUUACUUUUCUGCUGUACUCUUCAAAGUUGAUCAAGGUGGGUGGGUUCCCCUUGUGAUUGCUGCAGCCUUUCUUGUCAUCAUGUAUGUGUGGCAUUAUGGUACGGUGAAAAGGUAUGAAUUUGAGAUGCAUAGUAAGGUUUCUAUGGCAUGGAUUGUUGGGCUUGGCCCCAGCCUAGGACUGGUAAGAGUUCCUGGAAUUGGACUUGUGUACACCGAGUUAGCAAGUGGGGUUCCCCACAUCUUUUCUCACUUCAUCACAAAUCUACCUGCUAUCCAUUCUGUUGUUGUUUUUGUAUGCGUUAAGUACCUUCCCGUCUACACAGUUCCUGAAGAAGAGAGAUUCCUGGUCAAGCGUAUUGGACCAAAGAAUUUCCACAUGUUCCGUUGCGUUGCAAGGUAUGGCUAUAAAGACUUGCAUAAGAAAGAUGAGGAAUUUGAGAAAAAACUCUUCGAUAACCUCUUCUUGUUUGUCCGGCUUGAGUCUAUGAUGGAAGGGUGUUCAGACUCAGAUGAGUAUAGUUUAUAUGGUCAGCAAACUCAGCAAUCAAGAGAAGCCCUGUUGAAUGAUCAUAAUGGAAAUACAACUUCUUCUGCAGUAGAUUCCAUAAUUUCAUCUGUAGAUUCAAUCGUGCCCAUUAAGUCACCUGUAAAUCCAAAUUAUACCGUUGCGUCAUCAGGUCAAACAAGCAGCAGCCAAAUGGAGGUUGAUGAGUUAGAAUUUUUGAAUAGUUGCAGGGAUGCUGGGGUGGUGCACAUACUAGGGAAUACGGUGGUGAGAGCAAGGAGGGAUUCAAGGUUCUACAAGAAGAUAGCUGUUGAUUAUAUUUAUGCGUUUCUUAGGAAGAUAUGUAGGGAGAACAGUGUGAUUUUUAAUGUUCCUCAUGAGAGUCUCUUGAAUGUGGGACAGAUAUUCUAUGUAUAAUUUUUUUU
rnacentral:misc_RNA from 1 species